rnacentral:misc_RNA from 1 species
CAAGAAUCAGAGCACAUCAUCCCUGCAGGUUCCCCCUAGCCAAUUGAAACUAUGUCUGCCCAAAACACUAAAGAGAAGAGACGUCAUCAUGUUCCACCCUGUGCACCGGAGCCAAGGCCUCCCCUGGGGAAACCUCAAGGCCCGCACAGUGCACGCAGCAUGGAUUGUAGCACAGAUCUCCCGAAUAAUCCUCGUGGCCGAUGCAAUUAAGAACCGCCUGCUCGGGAACAUCGUCAUGGAUUUGUUCACCAAUGUGCACCGGAGCCGAGGCGUCCGCGGAGGGAUCCUCAAGGCCCGCAC